rnacentral:lncRNA from 1 species
UGGCCUUUGGAACUGGGGCCAUUUCAGGCAUUGCGUGUCAGAGCAUGCCUCACUACUUCCUGUCUGCAGGUCAAAUGAUGGGGAAACAACAACCCCCUCUGCAGUUGCACACAAUUCACUGACCUCUCAUCCAAGCAUCACCAAUGGACCUGAAGAUGAUGGAUCAUCGCGCUUUUUUCUCCGCGGCGCCUUUUCUCUGCCAUGCCGAUGAAUUCCAUCCACCGCUUUUCGCUUGAGCCCUUGCAUAAUUCUGCGAAUCCUUGUGGCUGAGAUUACUCCUUGUUCAUCUUUCCAGCACAGUUUCAUCGCCUGUAUCAACCACUCUAUCACUAGUCCUAACCCACGGGCUGUCUGAAGAAAUCAUCCAUGGCGGAAAAGGCAGAUGAAUGGCCAUGAUUGCGAGCGUGUCGUUUAGCACAGCAGCAGAUGACAAGGUAGCAACUCCUAUGAGGUGAGCCUGUGAACCUGCAUUGCAUCUAGAGGAAUUCUAUGGUGGUUAUGGCAUAUUCAUUCAGUAGGUCAAUGCUUCAGGGCCGGCCAAUGCUUCGGUGGUGUAAUCUAAAGCUGAAAUCAUGGCUGCAGUUGAAAGAGGAAUGUGACUACUGUGCUGUGGUACCACCCUUCUGCACUUUCUACCAACUGCAGUCAUUUGCUGCAGUUGUUCCAAUUGUUCCUUGCAUCAGAUAAAAACUGCACCAUAAAGAACCUUUCCCUCUAUAGUAACAUGAGCAAGUGCAAUUGUAGAUGGUGUGUUCAUCAGAAGCUGUACUUGGCAUUAUACCGCUAAGGGCAUUGGCAUUUGCAAGUCUCCUGUACAAUCAUACCAUGUCUUAUAGCUUGUGAUAGUGCCUAACAAAUGGCUGCUGGAAUCAGCAUGGCAUGCUCAACAGAUGAUAUGGUAGACUCAGACAAUUGGUAUGUCCCUAUGCAAUCACCUUUCUGUCUGAAUCAGUCAUUUCUGACCUUAUCUUGUUUUGUCGCAUGCGCAUCUCUCCAUGUAGUUCUCUUAAGUCAAAAAGUUCUCUUAAGUUUUCCCUUUUCUUGAACUUUCAGUUGACUGAAUUUCACACCAUUCACAUCAGCACAGGGACUUCAGGAGAACUUGGUAUUCUGAAUUGAAUCAUACGUUCAGUGUACAUUUUGAAAGCAAAGGUAAUCUCAGAAACCGCAUCAUCAUCGCAUAUUCAAGCUACGUUGGCAUCUACCAACUUGCUACAUAAUAGAUAGGAUUGAGCUAUUGUAGCAUAGUUUCAUAUAAUAGCUAGAAAUUGAAGAAAAAAAAAGCAAGACAAUUUCUGCUUGUAACUAACAGAAUAUGUGCAAAUUCAGAAAGGGGGUAGGGCCUAAAAAGUUCCAUGUUCCAACUAGUAUACAACACAUGCUUGAGCACCAUCCUCUGUAAAGGAGUGUUAUGUGUACUCGACAUUCAAGUAUUCCACAGGUAUGCUUGAGCUCAAUGAAAAUGGAAGCAGAAAAAAAUGCAUAAUUUUUUACCAUUUCCAUAUACAUAUUAAUGAAUGUAAGUAAUGAAAGAAUGAUAAUCUGCUAGUGAAACCCAGUAUUUUCCAAGUAGUUACUCUAAUAUUCCUCUAGUUCAGGAUUACAGAUACGGUACUCCGUAAAUCAGGAGAACACGACAAAGAGAAGAGAGGCUAGAGAUAUUCAUAUCAUACUUCAUCAGAGGACAUCUUCAUAUAAGGAUACUAACACUGAAACCACUCUUUCUUUAAAUGGCUACUAAUACCGAAAUCACUAAUAUAGCUGACUUCCAGUAGCGGCAUAACUUAUAUAAGCAAUGCAUCAUUGCUUUAUUCACUUCGGUGUUGAGCCUUCACCCAACUUGGAUGGCGUCCUAGGGCUGCUUCUCCCUCCCAGAGGGCUGCGCUCAUGCCUGAGCUCAGUGAGGCGAGGGCUGUAUGCUUUUUCAGAUAUGGACGGGCUGCGGAUGUUUUUCAGUUCUGCCACAGGUGUGCCACCGGAGCUAGUGAUCUUUGGGCUGUUCAGGCGCUUGAUCUCGCCCCGGCUUCUUGUGAACAUGUCGUCUAGGAUCUCUGCACUCUGGGCACGUCCCAAUGCAACAUCGAUAUCUUGCUGAAAUACAUGGCAUUUGAGUGUAAGGAAAAAGCAACAUGACAACAAAUGUCCUAGUCUAAAAAUACCAUGUUGAUGAGCAAGAUUAAAGUAUUUGUCAGGAUAUAUUAAAUCUUUCUGAACUUACCGCAGCAAGGCUGAAUGGUAUUGCUGGUGAUUCCUCAUACUCUGCUGCAUCCAGGUCAGUUAGAUGUGCACCUUUGAAGAGCUUGGGAAGGAUGUACUGCCUGACUGGAACC